GCCACCGCCCGCCCAGCGGGAGGUGCUCAGGGUCCAGCCCUGCAGCUUCCAGCAGCUCCACAGGGAGCAGCAGCCCCCAGCCUUCAACCCACGAGGCAGGAAAAGAGUUGUAGCCUUGUUUUUCCAAAACGUAAUGAAAAGUGACGUUUGAAGUAUUUUUCCACAAGGCUCUGUCAUUCUCAGCCAGAAAUUGUCAAGCCUAUUAGGAAGAGGAACCUAGAAGGCCAAAAAAUUCUCUGCCUGUUUUUUUUCCUGCAUGCUUCCUGUGAUGUUUGAUCCAAGGCAGCAAUAGAGAUCUGUGUCCCAGAGCCACAUUGUGGAGCCUAACCAAUAUGUUUGGAUUCUUGCAGCCCCCCCAGGCACUUUAGCGUCCAGCACUCCAGCUGGCAGUGCUGGUUGUGCAGCAUUGACAGUGUCCAGCUCCACACAGAACACACCUGGGGAAGAGCAGUCACCAGUGGAUCUUGGCUUUGCCAUUGAGCAAAUGAUCUGGGAGAUCCCUGCCUGAAAGGUCUCCCUCUGCACAGGGCAAUAUUAAUGUUGUGCCUGAGUCUUCUGGAGGCGAGCCUGUGAACCAGGCUGCAGCAGAGGAAGCCUCAUCUGGCACUGAGAGGAACAGUUUGCCAGAGCCUGAGGAGCUUGAUCCUGUGUGAUCGACCUCUGCAGGAGGGCUGCCCUGUGUGGCAGGAAGAGACAGAGGGAGAGGCUGUGACCAUCGGGCAGGUAGAAUUCCUCUGUCUCUAGUUAUAUUUAUAGAUGCGCAUAGUUAUGUUUAUUUAUCUAGGUAGUUGUAUUUAUAGAUUUAUGUAAUUAUAUUUAUCUAUAUAGGUAGAGAUCUGUACAGUUAAUUUUUUUUUUGUUUUAGAUGUAUAUCGUUAUAGCUUUAGAUGUGUUGGUGUAGUUAUAGAUGUGCACAGUUGCACUUAUACCUGUGUAUAGUUACAUUUAUAUAUAUACAUUUGUAAAUGCAUAUUUAUAUUUGUAUAUGGGGGUUUAGCUAAAUAGAUUGAUAUCUG